rnacentral:rRNA from 1 species
UACAGAGGGUGCGAGCGUUGUCCGGAAUCACUGGGCGUAAAGGGCGCGUAGGCGGCUCAGUAAGCGUGCGGUGAAAGCCCGGGGCUCAACCCCGGGUCGGCCGUGCGAACUGCAGAGCUGGAGCACUGUAGAGGCAGGUGGAAUUCCGGGUGUAGCGGUGGAAUGCGCAGAUAUCAGGAGGAACACCGAUGGCGAAGGCAGGUCUCUGGGCCGGAUACUG